AUCUCCCCCGCCCAAUCCCACCACCUCUCACUCCCACAAUGGCCUCCUCUCUCCACCUCUCUUCAAUCUCCACCGUCCGUCCCUCAGCCCAUCUCCGAUCUCCACCGUCCAUCUCCACCUCCUCCUCCUCCCUCAAACUCUCCUCCACCUUCCGCCCUCCUCCCCUGAAGCUCGCUCUCCGCCGCAGCCGCCGCAGCCGCCGCGGCGGAGCCGUCAUGGCCGACACCGCGGCAGCGAGCUACGCCAACGCGCUCUCCGACGUCGCCUGCAGGAACAACACUCUCGACACCACCAUGGCUGAUGUCGAGAAGCUCGGUCGCAUCUUCUCCGACCCCGAGGUCCUUUCCUUCUUCGUUAACCCCAUCAUUGCCAACGAGGAAAAGGAGAAGGUCGCUUGCGAGAUCGCCGAUUCCUCCUGCCUCCAGCGCCACACCGCCAACUUCAUCUCCAUUCUCAUCGACAUGAACCGCAUCGACAUCAUCCAGGACAUCGUCAGAGAGUUCGAGAACUGCUACAAUAGGAUCACCGGCACCGAGGUCGCCGUGGUGUCGUCGGUUGUGCAGCUCGACUCGCAGCACCUCGCUCAGAUCGCGCAGGUCGUGCAGAAGCUCACCAAGGCCAAGAACAUCCGGCUGAAGACCGUCAUUGAUCCUUCUCUCGUUGCCGGGUUCACCAUCAGGUUUGGGAAUUCCAGGUCGAAGCUUAUCGACCUGAGUGUUAAGAAGCAUUUGGAUGAGAUCGCCUCACAGCUCGACUUCUCUUCUAUCUCCUUCGCUUGAAAAAAGCGCCUAGAAGAUGAUCAACCUGAGUGUUAAGAAGCAACUGAAUGAAAUCACUUUGCAGCUCAACUUAUCCUCCAUCUCCCUCGCUUGAAAAAAAGCCAAUCUUCAAAAAAAUUCUUUUUCCUCAAAUUUGGAGCAAUAGGAACUUCUUAGCUCUCGCAGUGAAUGGUGGGUGUUCUUAUGUGAUCCUCUGCUUGAAGAAUAUUGUUGGAUGAAUGGGCAUUGUUUGAUCUUUCUUUCUUGAACUUUUUUCUUUGAAACUGUUGUUCCUUAUCAUUAGAGACUGACUAUGUUGUUUCCCCCAUUCUUCACACAAACAGUUGUGUGAUUUGUGUGAUUUGAUUAAUGAAAUGUAUAUUUUGGUGAAA